GGUUGUUUAACUAUGGCAAUAAGAAGUUUUGCUCUCUUAAUUGCAUAAAAUUUUUAUGUGCUUUCCCGAGAAAGGUUUCACCGGAGGGGAUUAGCAGUUAGUAUUUUAUUUGGGUAAGUGCCCUUUAAGAGGAGAGUAUAGUAAGGGGAUAGGACACAGUGCCAGCAUCCGCGGUUAAUCUGUUUUCUUUGCUUUUACUUGAAUGUUAUUUAACAGGUUAUAAGCGAGGUUAGGUGAAAUUUUCUUGUAAUUAUUUUGUUCUGUUAAAUGUUAUAAACUUAGUAUUAAUGACAGGGAUUAGAUACCCCAUUAGUUGUUAAGUUAUUUUGUUUUAGUUUCAUAACUAAAAUAGUUUGGCAGUGAGUUACUCCCAUUGGGGGAAGGUGUGUUGUAAAGGACGAUCCGCCAAUUAAUUAACCUGUUUUAUGUUGGUGUAUAUCUGGUUUGAUAUUAUUGCUUAAUAGCUGAAUUUGUGUAAGAGAUUAUUAAGCCAAGUCUAUGUGCUGCAUGAGCAGGAUUUCAUGCGUUACUGUUAAUUAAAAGUCUUGUUGUAAUACAUUGAUUAUAUUAGGGACUCGAAAGUAAUAGCGGAUUAUAUAGUCGCUGUGAAGAGGGUUUAACUCAGGUACACACCGCCCGUCACCCUCGGCGUAUGCUGAGGUAAGUCGUAACAUGGUAACCCCAAAUGAAUUUGGGGUUAAUUACUAGUUUAU
rnacentral:ncRNA from 1 species